rnacentral:rRNA from 1 species
GACGAACGCUGGCGGCGUGCUUAACACAUGCAAGUCGAACGGAAAGGUCCUGCUUUUGUGGGGUGCUCGAGUGGCGAACGGGUGAGUAACACGUGAGUAACCUGCCCUUGACUUUGGGAUAACUUCAGGAAACUGGGGCUAAUACCGGAUAGGAGCUCCUGCUGCAUGGUGGGGGUUGGAAAGUUUCGGCGGUUGGGGCUGGACUCGCGGCUUAUCCGCUGGUUUGUGGGGUAGUGGCUUACCAAGGCUUUGACGGGUAGCCGGCCUGGGAGGGUGACCGGCCACAUUGGGACUGAGAUACGGCCCAGACUCCUACGGGAGGCAGCAGUGGGGAAUAUUGCACAAUGGGCGGAAGCCUGAUGCAGCAACGCCGCGUGCGGGAUGACGGCCUUCGGGUUGUAAACCGCUUUCGCCUGUGACGAAGCGUGAGUGACGGUAAUGGGUAAAGAAGCACCGGCUAACUACGUG